GAGGAAACAUGAUGUAAUGUCAGCCAAUGAAACACAGAGCAAGUUUGCUGGGCGCCUGGCAGAAGUUUCCUAGGAGAAAACCACAGGAAAGACAGUCUCCUUCUUUUUCUCUUCAUGAUUACAAAUGGAUAUGAGGCCUGAAAAUUCUAAGCUCAUCUCAGAACCAGCUGGAGGAUGAAGUGAACAAGCAGGAGGGCAGAGCCGGAAGCACAGGAGAACUGAGCUAAAAGUACUUUGAUACAUACAUGAACAACUUCACAAGACAAAGAAUAAGAACUGGUUGGG